CAGAAAGGCCUGCUCAUGUCUGCAAGAUGAGUUUCUCAUGGCUCUGUGAUGAUAAUGUGUUGAUCCUUAUCCAGCAUGAGCUAUCUACAUCAUCUUCCUUGACUGCUAAGCUCUCAGAGCAAACACUGCUGCUGAGGAACAAAAGUAAGGUUUUCAGACUCGUUUUGGGAAGAAUCUUUCUCAUCCACCACUGCAAGCUGUAGAGGAAAUCGAGUUCACCAACAAGUGUCUUCAUCCUGCUCUGGAGCAGAAGAAAACCGUGAUUACCUGGCAGCCAUUAGUUUACCUGUAGUGGGAGGAGGGAGCCCAGGGAAGAGGAGGGAUGAGCAGAGGCUGGCACAUGGGGAGCUGUGCCUGCUGACCCCUGGCACGGGACCUAACUGCUGCAGAGCCCCAUCGCUCCACAGCAUCGCUCCUAACUUUUGUCAUGCUGCAAUGAAGCAUCCCUGGAGUUCUGCAAUGGUUCCUAUGUGGCUGGAGUGGCUUUCUUAUUUCAACCUCUUGAGCAUCGAUUGUUGAGUCGCUUCCUCAUCAUUAAAAGCUCGUCAGGGACAAGCUCUGGAGUUCAGAAGCUCUGUGCAGUCACCACGGCCUUCGGAUGCCCCAAGGGCACCAGCAGAGAGGAACGAGUGUGGCGAGAGCGCAGGCAGCUGUGAGCACACUGCAAUGUCAUUGCUGAUAUCUUCUCUGUGUUUUUAAAUACCAGUACAACAAAUGCCAGCACUGAACCAGAGGGAAAACUGAUGGCAUUCGGGGAUCACUGAAUGGAGGACUGGGCAUUCAGAGCUUCAUACUGCCCAGCAGUGAGAAGCAGACAUACGCUUUGCUGAUCUCAUGUACUCCUCCACCAUAAAAAGCUGCUCGCAGUUACAGUGAUGUUUCUAGAAGAGGAAACUUCAGGGUUGAGUUUCUCCUUUAGACGGUGCAAGUGCUCCCUGUAUUCUAUUCUUCAACCAUACAAAUGCUUAUAAAAUAGAAAUGUGAAUUGCCUCGGUGCUUUUAAAUACCUUAAAAAUAAUAAUUCAGGGACUCCUGUAUGAGAUGGAGCUGUCCCUCACUGCUUUAACCUGUGGAGUAGGUUAGCAUAACAUGGAAUCAAUUAUUGUACUAGACAUAUAAAACUGUCAGGUUUAAUACUUAACUGUAGUAUUUGCCUUGAAUGCUUGAUUUCCAGUCAUGUGUGAAGCUCCAGAAAGACAGAGAUAUCAGACAGAUUUUGGUGGAAGAAAUGACUUUGAGUACCCCGAGUUACAAAGGGAAAUCUGGAUGAGUGAUACACCCUGGGAAAGGAGUCCUUUUUCAAUCAAACACUUCCCAGUCCCUUAAAGUAAAGUAACGCAGAACACAAACUGCAGAACAAAUAUUAAGUUUCUAUUCUGCAUUGCCAUAGUUGAGACACCAUCUCAUUUCUUUCUCAGCUUCUCUGGAACCAGCUCUGCUUUAGCUGGAACAUUCUUCCCAUUCUUUUCCUUCUUUUUUUCUUAUUUCUGUACACAGAAGGAGAGAAUCAAACACAAAAGAUCUGCCUUGACUUUCACAGCUCUUCUAAUGCUUACAACUAAGCUUUAUUAUAUUAUUUAUUAUACACAAUGGAAAUAAUUAUUAUUACAGUCUUUCCUCUGUCAUGUGCUUUAUUACAUGACCUUGUUAUGGCCAAGGUUGCAAUCUGACAGUGUGCACUGCAUCGGUAGCGGUGACUGCUGGCAGGGAGUCCUUGGUUUGGGACUCUAAAACUGAUGGAUUAAACAGCAUUAAGGACAGUGAAGUGCUAAUACUGCGGUAAUGGACACUGUAAUAUUUCAAAAUAGCUCACAAGUAGAACCAAAACAAUCCAUUGGGCCACUCAAAUCAUGCAGGGUCUGGUUGGAAGCUCCUGGCCAUCUGACAGCUUUGGUGUAUUGCUGUAAGUCCAGAAGCACUUGCUACCUGUAGUCCAUAAUAAGUUGGUAACAAAGAGUGAUAACAGUAUGAAGUGGAAGAGAUAUUCAUCUUGGCGUAUUUCAAUCUAGAAGUGACAAUCCUGGAUUGAUUCAUUCUCUGAGGAAUAAACCUCCUCUUACAAAAAAAAAAAAAGAAAAGAAAAAACAAGUUUAAAGAAACCAGGAUUUAUCCUCAAGAUCACCACUCAUUUUCUUUUAGAAAUUACAUUCUAGACAAUAAGAGAUCACAGACCUGUAAAUUGCAUUUUAACUUUCAGGUAACAUACUAGGGCUAUAACAAAAUCUGAGGACUAUUAUCAUAGCAAAAUAACUGUAAUGCUUCAAGGCUGUAAUAACCAUCUCCUUUUUAUCAUCCAUACUACCAUCAGGCCAAGAAACAGUGAAUUUCUUUAACGUUAUUCUGCCAUAACCUUUAACUAUAUGCAUUAUUUCAAACACCUGGAAUAAUACUUUAUAUGGCACAACAGAAUAAUACAUUUGCCACUCACUGCACAGCAUAGUUGGCUAAACCCAAAUGAGUACAAAUGCUUAAAUCUGCUGUGCGUAUCGUAGAUAUACAUCUAUUCCUUCUACUGUGCUGUGGACUGACCUUUACGUGACAAGGAAGUUGAAGGAACAUUAGAAAGCAUAAGGUUUGUACUUAAAGUCAAUGAAGGCUCUUUCAGUUAUAUCAUCAUUAUAAAACUGUACUGCUUACCUGGUUUUGGGAGGGCUGUACUUGGCUAGCUCACACACACUUUAUGUGGAAUCUACAGCAUAAAUACUCUGUGGGUUCAUUGUAAAAAUAUGUUUGUGAUAUACCUUUCUGGUGUCCUUUGUGUUCUUUCGUGAAGUGUUUAUUCCUGUUAUAUCAAGUAGGUGCUAAUGCAUAAUACCAACACCAUACAUAGAGCAUCUUGAUAAAUAAUCAUGCAUAUGCUCCAGUGGUUUUCUACAUAAAUGCUCCUAUAUAUAAGUUACUACAGCCCAGGGCCCUGAAUGGAUCAAAUUUGUAAACACAUCACUAUAUUUCUUACCUCUAUUGAAGUGUAUUAUGAUAGCAGUGCUGGCAUUUAUCUAGACUGUUGAUAUAAAGGUUUCUACCCACACGAGCAAUGCAUAUUGCAUUAUGCAAUUCUGUAAUAAACUGCUUGAAAUAUUACCAGAGACAGAGCAUGCUGGAAAACAUUGAGUGAGCCCUGAGGUGGAAUGGUUCCUACUGAGUACAGAGCACUUUGGAUCAGGCCUUGGAGGAUACUACCUAUAAAAUAACACAUUUGAAGAACUUAAUUGUGAUUUCCUCAAUGUCACCCUGUCACUCUGAAAACCGGAUGCUUUAGUUCAAUGAAAGAUCUCAGCAGUGCAGUACAGCUUUUCGUCAAAGUUUAACUGCUUCAAAGAAUUUGGAAACUUCAUUUCUAUGAAGUCGGGCAUGGCCUUGAGUUGUACUAAAGGACUUCAUGUCACUGUGAGCACGUAAACACAGUGGCAAGGUUUUGGUUCUUCAGUUUGGUGGGAGCGGCUUUAUGCUUCUGUAGGAAACUUGUCCAAGAGAUCUUUGCUUCCAAAAUCUGCUUAGAGAAUCAGCCUCCACCACAGGGUGCCAGGAAGGACACCUGUGGUGUUCAGCCUGAAUGAAAAAUAACAGAGCUCCAAAGCUGUUAUAUUAUUGUUCCACAUCUCCUCUGCAGCAGCACACAGCUGGUGGUGACGCGGGAAUGAGGUCCCAGCAAAUCAAGGUUUAUUGGAAUAUUUUUCAACUGCACUAAGGAAAAGGGAUUUGGAUCUAAAGGGUACAGGCGUAGCACAAGGGGCAGCUACUCUCCUACUGGGCAAGCACAAAGUUAUUGGACCUCAGUCUAAUUUUUCUGUGAUUUCUUCUGUGACCUUUUACAAACUACACAGAGUCUGCCCAAGGAAAUCACAAAAUGAUUUCUAUUGGCUUCACUGGGUGAGAGAUUAAGGUUCUAAUUUCUCUUUGAAUCAGUGUUCUCAUUAGUAAAUUACUAGCCUCAAAGCUUAAUGUUUCCAACGCUCUUCAGUAUCCUUGAAGGGAAAUUGAUACUGGAAUGUUAACUGUCCUCAUUGCCAACAGCCAUAUAGCAUACAAAUCUAGAUUAAUAUGAGCAUUUCACUGGUGAUGACAGCACUGUAAAAUCCAUACCUAUGUUCCCACUAACCUAGAAGAACUAGACAAGAGUCAAAGAGAUUAAACGUAAUAGCUAAAGAGAAAGCUGAUUUCUCAGCAGGUGCCUUGUAUUUCCUGCAG
rnacentral:lncRNA from 1 species